UACGUAGGCAGCGAGCGUUGUUCGGAGUUACUGGGCGUAAAGCGUGCGUAGGCGGUGUCUUAAGUUUGUUGUGAAAUCUCCCGGCUUAACCGGGAGGGUGCGGCGAAUACUGAGAUGCUGGAGUGCCGGAGAGGUAAGCGGAAUUCCUGGUGUAGCGGUGAAAUGCGUAGAUAUCGGGAGGAACACCUGCGGUGUAGACGGCUUACUGGACGGUAACUGACGCUGAGGCACGAAAGCGUGGGUAGCAAACAGG
rnacentral:rRNA from 1 species